GUGAUGCGAGGUUAAGUGUUAAAGACACGGAGCCGAAGCGAAAGCGAAUCUGAAAAGGGUGCAAAGUAUCAUGUCGUAGACCCGAAACCGAAUGACCUAACCAUGAGCAGGUUGAAGCAAUGGUAAAACGUUGUGGAGGACCGAACACACGCCUGUUGAAAUAGUCGGUGAUGACUUGUGGUUAGCGGAGAAAUUCCAAACGAAUUCGGAUAUAGCUGGUUCUCCUCGAAAUAGCUUUAGGGCUAGCCUCGUAUAUAAUCCUUGUGGGUAGAGCACUAAAUGGCCUAGGGGGCUUCACAGCCUACCGAAGCUUAUUAAACUCCGAAUCGCAAGGAAUUGAGUACGGGAGUCAGACAGCGACAGCUAAGUGCCGUUGUCAAAAGGGAAACAGCCCAGAUCUACAGCUAAGGUCCCCAAGUGCAGGUUAAGUGGAAAAGGAUGUGACAAUGCAUAGACAACCAGGAUGUUGGCUCAGAAGCAGCCACGCAUUAAAAGAGUGCGUAAUAGCUCACUGGUCGAGUGAUGUUGCGCCGAAAAUUAACGGGGCUCAAACCUGACACCGAAGCUUAGGAAUACGCGAUGCGUAUUGGUAGAGGAGCAAUGUAUACGCGCAGAAGCCGUACCGGAAGGAGCGGUGGAGUGUAUAGAAGAGAGAAUGCCGGCAUAAGUAGCGAGAGCGGAGCGAGAAACUCCGCCGUCGAAAGUCUGAGGUUUUCCGGGGAAGGUUCGUCCGCCCGGAGUAAGUCGGGACCUAAGCGGAGGCCGAAAGGCGUACGUGAUGGACAACAGGUUGAUAUUCCUGUACUACCGAGAAAGAUAAUGAUGCAGUGACACGGAAAGAUAGAAGAAGCGCGCAGAUGGAAAAGCGCGUCCAAGCAAUGAGGGCGGCUGGUAGUAAAGAACGCCAGUCAAAAAGCCUGAGUUGUGACGGGGAGUGGACCAAGGAAACGAAGUCUUCGAAUCUACGCCGGCGAGAAAAGCUGCUAAAUAUUUCGAGGUACCCGUACCGCAAACCGACACAGGUAGACGAGAAGAAAAUUCUAAGACGAACGGGAGAACCCUUGUUAAGGAACUCGGCAAAAUGACCCCGUAACUUCGGGAGAAGGGGAGCCACUGAAAGGUGGCCGCAGUAAAGAGGCCCAAGCGACUGUUUAUCAAAAACACAGGUUUCUGCUAAGGCGAAAGCCAAGGUAUAGGAGCUGACUCCUGCCCAGUGCCGGAAGGUCAAGGGGAUUCGUUAGCGCAAGCGAAGCGAUGAACUUAAGCCCCGGUGAACGGCGGCCGUAACUAUAACGGUCCUAAGGUAGCGAAAUUCCUUGUCGGGUAAGUUCCGACCCGCACGAAUGGAGUAACGAUUUGGGCACUGUCUCAACAGGGGGCCCGGCGAAAUUGUAGUAUACGUGAAGAUGCGUAUUAACCCGCGACUGGACGGAAAGACCCCGUAGAGCUUUACUGUAACUUGAUAUUGAAUCUCGGCAAUUGAUGCACAGAAUAGGUGGGAGACUGAGAAGCGGGUGUUUCGGCAUCCGUGGAGUCAACUUUGGGAUACCACUCUUCGAUUGCUGCGAUUCUAACCGAAACCCGUGAAACCGGGAACGGGACAGUGUCAGGUGGGCAGUUUGACUGGGGCGGUCGCCU
rnacentral:rRNA from 1 species